UGUGAUUGGCUGAGAGAGAAGAGGCGAAGUAGAAAGCUGCAUCCUGGUUGGCUGUCAAUUACCUCAGCUUAGGGCUUCCUUCUCGUGUUCCUCGUGUGCGUGAGUGAUACAGCUGUGUUUCCUUUGCAAUUUUCCGGUACAUAAACACUUAUUACCCGCUUUCAGAGUACAGGAUGGUGAAGAUAAAGUACUUGAGUUAUCACAGACCACCAGUGACCUAGGAAACAAUGAAAAUGUUCCGUAAAACUCAAUAGGACGUGAGUGAGUGUGUCUACGUGACUAAUUCAUGGUGUCUGAUCUCUGCCAUAACUUACGUGGUUCUGUCUCUUCAUUUUUUUUUUUCCCUGCAGCCUGUCCCUUGUGUCUUUGUCAGCUCUGACCUUCAUGUUUAACCCCAUGCCAGUGACCUUGACCCUUAAAGUUUAGAGUUAAAGGAGAAAGGAAGAGUUUGUGGAAGUUUUUUCGUGUGGUAAAGAAAGAAGAAUCGAGAAGUGAAACUGCUUCGGAACCUGACUCGGCCAUCUCAGAGCUUCGCGGUGAGCGGAAGUAAAUGAGAUGGAGCUAAUUACCAGUUACAGGUGUUUGCAAUAUCACAUUGAACAAGUUGACGUGAUAAAAGGUUAGAGUGUGGCAGUGUGGCAUCGCAUCUGUGCAGGAGUGUGCGUGGUGUGUGAUCUUUAUCUUCCGCUUCCCUCAAGUGGAAAUGUGGUGAAUUUUACGAGAGAAAGCUUCAGAGGACCUAAGGCUGAAGGAGUGGAGGACUCAAAGGAUUCAAAGGAUGGUGCUUUUGCUGAAUGCCUCGAGCAGGCGGUGACGUGCGGAGGGACACCCGGAUAAGCGUGGACCAGCGUGCGCGAUUCGAUUCUCUUGCUAACCACUCCACCAUGCGAGGAGGGAAAAAUAGAAAGUGUUCAGUGAUGGAUAUACACCCUCAAUUUGCAGCGUUUGUCUCGCGUGGGAUGCGGUGAACACAGGCAAAGAAUGGAUACAAAUGCCAGCUCAGGAGAAAGAAAAACGAGAGGAGAUGAGAUGGGGAAAAAUUCUAAAUAGUACAAUGUGGAAGGGAGGGAAAAAAAAAAACAAAAAAAAACAAGAAUUUCUGCCACGCGCCGUUAAUUACAGAAACGACUCGAGUUCCAACUGUGAUAGCUGUCAUUAUUAGGCGCCAUCUUGUUGUUGUUGUUGUUGUUGUUGUGAGCGGUUCUGUUAAAUGGAGCGGAAAUCAUUGAAGUAGGACCGGAAAUUAAUCAGAUGUUUACUCGUGUCUCGCUAGAAAAAAAUAAAUAAAUAAAAGAAAGGUACUAUUGGUUGCAUUUAGCGAGCCAUUAGAGAGAGAGAGAGAGAGAGAGAGAGAGAGAGAGAGAGAGAGAGAGAGAGAGAGAGAGAGAGAGAGAGAGAGAGUGAGAGAGAGAGAGAAUAGUUUAUUGACCCCUGCAAAAAUAAAAAAGAAAUAUUCCAAACUUUUUCGAUCAUCACAAUAAACAUACGAGUAAACAAACAAACAAACAAACAGACAGACAGACAGACAGACAGAUAGACAGACAGACAGACAGACAGACAGACAGACCACAUCAAACACAUCAAAAUAGGUAGAAUGCAUAAUGAAUCUAUCCAUUACAUAUUCUUAAACAAACAUAACGCACAGACAGACACACAGACAAACAGACAGAAAAAAGAAAACACUAACGAGUACCGCAUUUAACACCGAUACCUAACCUAACCUAACCUACCCUAACCUAACCUAACCUAACCUAACCUACCCUAACCAAACCUAACCUAACGUAACCUAACCUAACCUAACUUACCCUACCCUACCCUAACUAAACCUAACCUAACCUAACCUAACCUAACCCUAACCUAACCUAACCUACCCUAACUAAACCUAACCUAACGUAACCUAACCUAACCUAACCUACCCUACCCUACCCUAACUAAACCUAACCUAACGUAAC